UACGAAGGGGGCUAGCGUUGUUCGGAUUUACUGGGCGUAAAGCGCACGUAGGCGGUUUGUUAAGUGAGAGGUGAAAUCCCAGAGCUCAACUCUGGAACUGCCUUUCAUACUGGCAAGCUAGAGUCCGGAAGAGGUAAGUGGAACUCCUAGUGUAGAGGUGGAAUUCGUAGAUAUUAGGAAGAACACCAGUGGCGAAAGGCGGCUUA
rnacentral:rRNA from 1 species